GCCUGGGUGGCUCAGUCGGUUGAGCGUCCGACUUCAGCUCAGGUCACGAUCUCGCGGUCCGCGAGUUCGAGCCCCGCGUCGGGCU
rfam:Felis catus isolate Cinnamon breed Abyssinian chromosome D4, whole genome shotgun sequence.